rnacentral:rRNA from 1 species
CCUACGGGUGGCAGCAGUGGGGAAUUUUGGACAAUGGGCGCAAGCCUGAUCAAGCCAUACCGCGUGGGUGAAGAAGGCCUUCGGGUUGUAAAGCCCUUUUGUUGGGAAAGAACUCCAGCUGGCUAAUACCCGGUUGGGAUGACGGUACCCAAAGAAUAAGCACCGGCUAACUUCGUGCCAGCAGCCGCGGUAAUACGAAGGGUGCAAGCGUUACUCGGAAUUACUGGGCGUAAAGCGUGCGUAGGUGGUCGUUGAAUCGCGUUGGGAAAGCGCUGGUCUCAACCUGGGAACUGCAGUGGAUGCUGGGCGACUAGAGUGUGGUAGAGGGUAGCAGAAUUCCUGGUGUAGCAGUGAAAUGCGUAGAUAUCAGAAGGAACAACCAUGGCGAAGGCAGCUACCUGGACCAACACUGACACUGAGGCACGAAAGCGUGAGGAGCAAACAGGAUUAGAUACCCGAGUAGUC